ACAGAGGUCCCAAGCGUUACUGAGAUUCACUGGGUUUAAAGGGUGCGUAGGUGGCGCGUUAAGUCAGUUGUGAAAUCCCCGGGCUCAACUCGGGAAUUGCUUCUGAUACUGGCGUGCUUGAGGCCGGUAUGGGUUACUGGAACAGACGGUGGAGCGGUGAAAUGCGUAGAUAUCGUCUGGAACGCCAGUGGUGAAGACGGGUAACUGGGCCGGUUCUGACACUGAGGCACGAAAGCGUGGGGAGCGAACGGGAUUAGAUACCCCGGUAGUCCACGCCCUAAACGAUGCAGACUAGAUUGCAGCAGGUCUGACCCUGUUGCGGUCGAAGCAAAAGUGUUAAGUCUGCCGCCUGGGAAGUACGGUCGCAAGGCUA
rnacentral:rRNA from 1 species